UACGAAGGGGGCUAGCGUUGCUCGGAAUGACUGGGCGUAAAGGGCGCGUAGGCGGUUUGCACAGUCAGGCGUGAAAUUCCUGGGCUUAACCUGGGGGCUGCGCUUGAUACGUGUGGACUGGAGUGCGGAAGAGGGUCGUGGAAUUCCCAGUGUAGAGGUGAAAUUCGUAGAUAUUGGGAAGAACACCGGUGGCGAAGGCGGCAUCCUGGACCAACACUGACGCUGAGUGAGCGAAAGCCAGGGGAGCAAACGGG
rnacentral:rRNA from 1 species